UGGGGAAUAUUGCACAAUGGGGGAAACCCUGAUGCAGCGACGCCGCGUGAACGAAGAAGGUAUUCGUAUCGUAAAGUUCUGUCCUAUGGGAAGAUAAUGACAGUACCAUAGAAGAAAGCUCCGGCUAAAUACGUGCCAGCAGCCGCGGUAAUACGUAUGGAGCGAGCGUUGUCCGGAAUUAUUGGGCGUAAAGGGUACGCAGGCGGUUUAAUAAGUCGAAUGUUAAAGAUCGGGGCUCAACCCCGCAAAGCAUUGGAAACUGAUAACUUGAGUAGUGGAGAGGAAAGUGGAAUUCCUAGUGUAGUGGUGAAAUACGUAGAUAUUAGGAGGAAUACCAGUAGCGAAGGCGACUUUCUGGACACAAACUGACGCUGAGGUACGAAAGCGUGGGGAGCAAACAGG
rnacentral:rRNA from 1 species